rnacentral:rRNA from 1 species
GACUUUGAGACCGGCGCACGGGUGCGUAACGCGUAUGCAAUCUACCUUUUACAGAGGGAUAGCCCAGAGAAAUUUGGAUUAAUACCUCAUAGUAUAAUGACCUGGCAUCAGGAUGUUAUUAAAGUCACAACGGUAAAAGUAUGAGCAUGCGUCCCAUUAGCUAGUUGGUAAGGUAACGGCUUACCAAGGCUACGAUGGGUAGGGGUCCUGAGAGGGAGAUCCCCCACACUGGUACUGAGACACGGACCAGACUCCUACGGGAGGCAGCAGUGAGGAAUAUUGGACAAUGGGCGCAAGCCUGAUCCAGCCAUGCCGCGUGCAGGAUGACGGUCCUAUGGAUUGUAAACUGCUUUUAUACGAGAAGAAACACUACUUCGUGAAGUAGCUUGACGGUAUCGUAAGAAUAAGGAUCGGCUAACUCCGUGCCAGCAGCCGCGGUAAUACGGAGGAUCCAAGCGUUAUCCGGAAUCAUUGGGUUUAAAGGGUCCGUAGGCGGUUUGGUAAGUCAGUGGUGAAAGCCCAUCGCUCAACGGUGGAACGGCCAUUGAUACUGCCAGACUUGAAUUAUUAGGAAGUAACUAGAAUAUGUAGUGUAGCGGUGAAAUGCUUAGAGAUUACAUGGAAUACCAAUUGCGAAGGCAGGUUACUACUAAUGGAUUGACGCUGAUGGACGAAAGCGUGGGUAGCGAACAGGAUUAGAUACCCUGGUAGUCCACGCCGUAAACGAUGGAUACUAGCUGUUGGAAGCAAUUUCAGUGGCUAAGCGAAAGUGAUAAGUAUCCCACCUGGGGAGUACGUUC